UUGAACGCUGGCGGCAGGCCUAACACAUGCAAGUCGAACGGUAACAGGAAACAGCUUGCUGUUUCGCUGACGAGUGGCGGACGGGUGAGUAAUGUCUGGGAAACUGCCUGAUGGAGGGGGAUAACUACUGGAAACGGUAGCUAAUACCGCAUAACGUCGCAAGACCAAAGAGGGGGACCUUCGGGCCUCUUGCCAUCGGAUGUGCCCAGAUGGGAUUAGCUUGUUGGUGGGGUAACGGCUCACCAAGGCGACGAUCCCUAGCUGGUCUGAGAGGAUGACCAGCCACACUGGAACUGAGACACGGUCCAGACUCCUACGGGAGGCAGCAGUGGGGAAUAUUGCACAAUGGGCGCAAGCCUGAUGCAGCCAUGCCGCGUGUAUGUAGAAGGCCUUCGGGUUGUAAAGUACUUUCAGCGGGGAGGAAGGGAGUAAAGUUAAUACCUUUGCUCAUUGACGUUACCCGCAGAAGAAGCACCGGCUAACUCCGUGCCAGCAGCCGCGGUAAUACGGAGGGUGCAAGCGUUAAUCGGAAUUACUGGGCGUAAAGCGCACGCAGGCGGUUUGUUAAGUCAGAUGUGAAAUCCCCGGGCUCAACCUGGGAACUGCAUCUGAUACUGGCAAGCUUGAGUCUCGUAGAGGGGGGUAGAAUUCCAGGUGUAGCGGUGAAAUGCGUAGAGAUCUGGAGGAAUACCGGUGGCGAAGGCGGCCCCCUGGACGAAGACUGACGCUCAGGUGCGAAAGCGUGGGGAGCAAACAGGAUUAGAUACCCUGGUAGUCCACGCCGUAAACGAUGUCGACUUGGAGGUUGUGCCCUUGAGGCGUGGCUUCCGGAGCUAACGCGUUAAGUCGACCGCCUGGGGAGUACGGCCGCAAGGUUAAAACUCAAAUGAAUUGACGGGGGCCCGCACAAGCGGUGGAGCAUGUGGUUUAAUUCGAUGCAACGCGAAGAACCUUACCUGGUCUUGACAUCCACGGAAGUUUUCAGAGAUGAGAAUGUGCCUUCGGGAACCGUGAGACAGGUGCUGCAUGGCUGUCGUCAGCUCGUGUUGUGAAAUGUUGGGUUAAGUCCCGCAACGAGCGCAACCCUUAUCCUUUGUUGCCAGCGGUCCGGCCGGGAACUCAAAGGAGACUGCCAGUGAUAAACUGGAGGAAGGUGGGGAUGACGUCAAGUCAUCAUGGCCCUUACGACCAGGGCUACACACGUGCUACAAUGGCGCAUACAAAGAGAAGCGACCUCGCGAGAGCAAGCGGACCUCAUAAAGUGCGUCGUAGUCCGGAUUGGAGUCUGCAACUCGACUCCAUGAAGUCGGAAUCGCUAGUAAUCGUGGAUCAGAAUGCCACGGUGAAUACGUUCCCGGGCCUUGUACACACCGCCCGUCACACCAUGGGAGUGGGUUGCAAAAGAAGUAGGUAGCUUAACCUUCGGGAGGGCGCUUACCACUUUGUGAUUCAUGACUGGGGUG
rnacentral:rRNA from 1 species